rnacentral:rRNA from 1 species
AAUGAACGCUGGCGGCGCGCCUAAUACAUGCAAGUCGAGCGAGAAGACGUAGCAAUACGUUUGUAAAGCGGCGAACGGGUGAGGAAUACAUGGGUAACCUACCCUCGAGUGGGGAAUAACUAGCCGAAAGGUUAGCUAAUACCGCGUACGCUCCUUGGACUUCGGUUCAGGGAGGAAAGCGAUACCGUGGGUAUCGCGCUCUUGGUUGGGCUCAUGUCCUAUCAGCUUGUUGGUGAGGAACGGCUCACCAAGGCUUCGACGGGUAGCUGGUCUGAGAGGACGAUCAGCCACACUGGCACUGCGACACGGGCCAGACUCCUACGGGAGGCAGCAGUAAGGAAUAUUGCGCAAUGGGCGAAAGCCUGACGCAGCGACGCCGCGUGGGGGAUGAAGGUCUUCGGAUUGUAAACCCCUUUCGGGAGGGAAGAUGGAACGAGCAAUCGUUCGGACGGUACCUCCAGAAGCAGCCACGGCUAACUUCGUGCCAGCAGCCGCCGU